rnacentral:rRNA from 1 species
GAUGAACGCUAGCGGGAGGCCUAAUACAUGCAAGUCGAGCGGUAACUUUCUUCGGGAAGCUAGAGCGGCGCACGGGUGAGUAACGCGUACAUGACCUGCCUUUAAGACCGGGAUAGCCCUGGGAAACUGGGAUUAAUACCCUAUGGUAUUGAUAUUAUGAAUGAUAUCAAUUAAAGUUGAGGCGCUGACAGAUGGAUGUGCGUCUGAUUAGCUAGUUGGUAGGGUAACGGCCUACCAAGGCGACGAUCAGUAGGGGGCGUGAGAGCGUGGUCCCCCACACGGGUACUGAGACACGGACCCGACUCCUACGGGAGGCAGCAGUAAGGAAUAUUGGUCAAUGCCCGCAAGGGUGAACCAGCCAUUCCGCGUGGAGGAUGAAGGCCCUAUGGGUUGUAAACUUCUUUUAGAUGGGAAGAAAAUGCUAGAUGUAUCUGGUACUGACGGUACCAUCAGAAUAAGCACCGGCUAACUCCGUGCCAGCAGCCGCGGUAAU